ensembl:snoRNA SNORD28 Small nucleolar RNA SNORD28
GUCAGCUGGAUUGGGAUGAAUAAGCUGAUGCUUUGUGAGGUACAGAAGUUAACAGCAGUUAGAGUUCUGAUGGCA